rnacentral:tRNA from 1 species
GCCUUGGUGGUGUAAUGGCUGCACGGAGGACUGUGGAUCCUCUAGACCGGGUCCGAUUCCCGGCCAAGGCC